rnacentral:rRNA from 1 species
UUAGGUGGCUAUAGCGUGGGUGUUCCACCUCUUACCAUUCCGAACAGAGAAGUUAAGCCCCACAGCGCCGAUGGUACUGCUAUACCAAGUGGGAGAGUAGGUCGCCGCCUUUU